UGGUGCGUCGCUGCGCUUGCUGGUGCUGUAUGUGAAAGCAUGCUAAAAGGUGGCUAAAGAAGUAAGACUCAGCCUUCGCAGCUUUAGACCCAUGUGCUCCAUCAUUCCAUCUCCUGUC